GGACCUUCUAGCAGCCCUGAAGCAAAAAGACUGUAGCGGAAAAGAAGUGAUGCGCCUCCUGCUCUCAAUGUCUAAAGUCAAUCACACAAGCAGGAUGUGGCUCCCAGUAACAGGCCGACCAUCACAGUCCGGUCGGUGAUCUAUCACAUGCUGAAGGGGAAACGGCUUUUCUGCUGCUCGGGUCCCGUUUCCCUCCUCCGGUCGCCAUGGUGACGCUCAGCUAUGCAGAGCCUGAAUACAGUCAGCAGCUUCGCGGAAAGAGGCCUUUGUUACCCACAACCCCCCUCUCCUCCCCUCAUCGCUUUUCUGGUCGUUCUCAACUAAACUCUGGACUGGUCUCACGUCUAACACCAGUAUGAUACCAGUAUACACUACCAGUACGGGUCACUGCAUGAAAAAUAUUCAUGCAUCCUGAAUGUUUUUUCACACUGAAGCCCACAAACUUCAGUGCAGUUUAUUGGGAUUUUA